AAGUCGUAACAAGGUUUCCGUAGGUGAACCUGCGGAAGGAUCAUUAACACUUUUGAAAGCAUCCAAUAUCAACUUUUUCCAACCAAACGGUCAACUAUCUCCUCCCUAUUUCGCACACCGGAGACGGUACGAGUAGGCUAACAUGUCAAUAAUUAAUUAACACAAGCAAUUGUUUGUUAGUUAGUUAUUUUCAAACACAAGAUAACCCCUUUUAAUUAUAUUAUUCAUUUAAUAUAAACGAACAACUCUUCGAUUUGCAACUUCUCUUUAAACCAGAAGAAACAAAAACGAACUAAACUAAAAUAUACAUUCGAUAUAUUUUUAUUUUACGAAAUAAUAUAUAUUUAUAAGAACAACUCUUAGCAAUGGAUAUCUCGGUUCUC
rnacentral:misc_RNA from 1 species